CUCUAGAUUUAGGAUUUAGUUAAAUAGAAACUUUCUAUAGGUAGUAAAAUGUUGGUGUUAUGCUAAUUGUUUU
rnacentral:tRNA from 1 species